AUAUUUGACCCGCUAAAACCUUUUCCUAUUUUGUUUUUGCGAGUCACUUUCCCUUCCCUCCUCACAAACGGGUCUAAAUAAAACUCGGAAGUCCGAACUCGUUCACCAGAGAAGGGAACCCACUUUGCCUCUGUAUUCGAAAACCAGUCGUCUCUCUCAGAAAUUUGGAAAGUGCAAAAUGGUGGUUUGCUAUCCCUCCACGCCGAAGAAGAAAGCUUUGGCUGUGGGAUUUUUCAUUUCGGCUGCUGCUCUUUUCGCUUACGGUGUGCAUCUCUCCUAUGUCAACGUUGCACCUCAGCAAGCUCGAACCAAAGCUCGAAAUGAGUUUGUUAGAGAACGAUUGAAACAGAAAUAUGGGAAAUGAGCAUGCAGGUUGCGAUGUCAGAGUUCAGGUUGUCGGAUCAUUUUGUCAUGCUUAUGAAUUUUAUCCCUUGUGAUCACCAAUUCUGGGAUGAUACAGAAUGCUCGUGAUCAUGAUUUGAUUGCCAUUAUGUUCUACAAUUACCUGAAGGAAAGGACUAGUUUUAUACUUCGUACUGUCACUAACAUUGUAAGAUUUGCUUCUAUGCAACUGGUAAGUUUGGUUUAACAAUAUGGUCCUUCUUCGUGUAAACUUCCCCAUAUAUGAACAUCUUUCCCCCAUUUUCUUUUA